CAAGCCUUUAACCAGUGCCCGUUUUCACCGCAACGAUAAUAUAUAGUUUAUAAACUAUUUGCCUUUGGGUUCUUAUCGUAUCGUGUUUGUGGCAGAGUGACCAACUUCAGGUUGUCAUCUCUUCUUUAAGCCAUCUCACAAGAUAGGUGGAUCUUUGACUGUGAUAUAUUCAAUUUUCAAACCUUCAUCAAGGUGAUGGCGCAAGUAAAUCAAGGCNN
rnacentral:lncRNA from 1 species